rnacentral:lncRNA from 1 species
CUCCAUCGUCUCUGCCCACCAUCCAAGAAGGCGAAAUCCCCAUCGCCGGUGAGAGGGCUGCCGCCGCCUUCGUCGUGCAAUCUCAAUUCCAACCGCACAAGUACCGCCCUUUCUCUCUCUGUCUCUCUCCUCUCGUCCUUCGCCAUUUCUUCCUCGCCCGUGCUUACCGUGUUCUUUUUCUACUUAUAGCUCUAUCGUCUCUGCCCACCAUCCAAGAAGGC